GGGGCAUUGGCGCAGUUGGGAGCGCGCCUGAAUGGCAUUCAGGAGGUCAGGGGUUCAAGUCCCCUAUGCUCCA
rnacentral:tRNA from 1 species